UAGAGUUUGAUCAUGGCUCAGAACGAACGCUGGCGGCAGGCCUAACACAUGCAAGUCGAGCGCACCUUCGGGUGAGCGGCGGACGGGUUAGUAACGCGUGGGAACGUGCCCUUUUCUGCGGAAUAGCCACUGGAAACGGUGAGUAAUACCGCAUACGCCCUUCGGGGGAAAGAUUUAUCGGAGAAGGAUCGGCCCGCGUUAGAUUAGGUAGUUGGUGGGGUAAUGGCCUACCAAGCCUACGAUCUGUAGCUGGUUUGAGAGGAUGAUCAGCAACACUGGGACUGAGACACGGCCCAGACUCCUACGGGAGGCAGCAGUGGGGAAUCUUAGACAAUGGGGGCAACCCUGAUCUAGCCAUGCCGCGUGAGUGAUGAAGGCCUUAGGGUCGUAAAGCUCUUUCGCUGGGGAUGAUAAUGACAGUACCCAGUAAAGAAACCCCGGCUAACUCCGUGCCAGCAGCCGCGGUAAUACGGAGGGGGUUAGCGUUGUUCGGAAUUACUGGGCGUAAAGCGCACGUAGGCGGACUGGAAAGUUAGAGGUGAAAUCCCGGGGCUCAACCCCGGAACUGCCUUUAAAACUAUCAGUCUAGAGUUCGAGAGAGGUGAGUGGAAUUCCGAGUGUAGAGGUGAAAUUCGUAGAU
rnacentral:rRNA from 1 species